rnacentral:rRNA from 1 species
CCUACGGGUGGCAGCAGUGAGGAAUAUUGGUCAAUGGGCGGGAGCCUGAACCAGCCAAGUCGCGUGAAGGAAGACUGCCCUAUGCGUUGUAAACUUCUUUUAUAAGGGAAGAAAGAGUGCCACGCGUGGCUUUGUGAGUGUACCUUAUGAAUAAGCAUCGGCUAACUCCGUGCCAGCAGCCGCGGUAAUACGGAGGAUGCGAGCGUUAUCCGGAUUUAUUGGGUUUAAAGGGUGCGUAGGCGGGUGGUAAAGUCAGUGGUAAAAGGUCGGGGCUAAACCUAGAAGUGCCAUUGAUACUGGCAGACUCGAGACCAGACGAGGUAGGCGGAAUGAGCGGUGUAGCGGUGAAAUGCUUAGAUAUCACGCAGAACUCCGAUUGCGAAGGCAGCGUACCAGACUGGGACUGACGCUGAGGCACGAAAGCGUGGGUAUCGAACAGGAUUAGAUACCCCAGUAGUC